rnacentral:rRNA from 1 species
UACGUAGGUGACAAGCGUUGUCCGGAUUUACUGGGCGUAAAGGGCGUGCAGGCGGUUUGUUAAGUGCAGGGUGAAAGCUCCCGGCUCAACUGGGAGAGGUCCUUGCAUACUGGCGAACUCGAGGGAGGCAGAGGAAAGUGGAAUUCCCGGUGUAGUGGUGAUAUGCGUAGAUAUCGGGAGGAACACCAGUGGCGAAGGCGGUUGCCUGGAGCUUUGCUGACGCUGAUGCGCGAAAGCGUGGGGGAGCGAUCCGG